CGAUUAACCAAAGCUUUAUGUGCUGAAAGAUGGUCUCGCGUCUGAUUAGCUAGAUGGCGGGGUAACGGCCCACCAUGGCGACGAUCAGUAGCCGGUCUGAGAGGAUGAACGGCCACAUUGGGACUGAGAUACGGCCCAGACUCCUACGGGAGGCAGCAGUGGGGAAUAUUGGGCAAUGGGGGAAACCCUGACCCAGCAACGCCGCGUGAAGGAAGAAGGCCUUCGGGUUGUAAACUUCUUUUACCAGGGACGAAGAACGUGACGGUACCUGGAGAAAAAGCAACGGCUAACUACGUGCCAGCAGCCGCGGUAAUACGUAGGUUGCAAGCGUUGUCCGGAUUUACUGGGUGUAAAGGGCGUGUAGGCGGAGAUGCAAGUUGGGAGUGAAAUCCCGGGGCUCAACCCCGGAACUGCUUUCAAAACUGUAUCCCUUGAGUGUCGGAGAGGCAAGCGGAAUUCCUAGUGUAGCGGUGAAAUGCGUAGAUAUUAGGAGGAACACCAGUGGCGAAGGCGGCUUGCUGGACGAUAACUGACGCUGAGGCGCGAAAGCGUGGGGAGCAAACAGGAUUAGAUACCCUGGUAGUCCACGCUGUAAACGAUGAAUACUAGGUGUGGGAGGACUGACCCCUUCCGUGCCGCAGUUAACACAAUAAGUAUUCCACCUGGGGAGUACGACCGCAAGGUUGAAACUCAAAGGAAUUGACGGGGGCCCGCACAAGCAGUGGAUUAUGUGGUUUAAUUCGACGCAACGCGAAGAACCUUACCAGGGUUUGACAUCCAACUAACGAAGUAGAGAUACAUUAGGUGCCCUUCGGGGAAAGUUGAGACAGGUGGUGCAUGGUUGUCGUCAGCUCGUGUCGUGAGAUGUUGGGUUAAGUCCCGCAACGAGCGCAACCCCUAUUGUUAGUUGCUACGCAAGAGCACUCUAGCGAGACUGCCGUUGACAAAACGGAGGAAGGCGGGGACGACGUCAAAUCAUCAUGCCCCUUAUAUCCUGGGCUACACACGUAAUACAAUGGUGGUUAACAGAGGGAAGCAAAACCGCGAGGUGGAGCAAAUCCCUAACUAGC
rnacentral:rRNA from 1 species